GGGGAUAUAGCUCAGUUGGUAGAGUGCUUGUCUUUCAUGCACAAGGCCCUGGGUUCAAUCCCCAGCACCCCCC
rnacentral:tRNA from 1 species